GGGAGAUGGCUCAGUGGUUAAGAGCACUAGCUAAUCUUCCAGAGGACCUGGGUUCAAUUCCCAGCACCCA
rnacentral:tRNA from 1 species